rnacentral:rRNA from 1 species
CACGUAGGCGGAUAUUUAAGUCAGGGGUGAAAUCCCAGAGCUCAACUCUGGAACUGCCUUUGAUACUGGGUAUCUUGAGUAUGGAAGAGGUAAGUGGAAUUCCGAGUGUAGAGGUGAAAUUCGUAGAUAUUCGGAGGAACACCAGUGGCGAAGGCGGCCUACUGGUCCAUUACUGACGCUGAGGUGCGAAAGCGUGGGGAGCAAACA